rnacentral:rRNA from 1 species
GAUGAACGCUGGCGGCGUGCUUAACACAUGCAAGUCGAACGGAAAGGCCAGUGCUUGCACUGGUACUCGAGUGGCGAACGGGUGAGUAACACGUGGGUGAUCUGCCCUGCACUUCGGGAUAAGCCUGGGAAACUGGGUCUAAUACCGGAUAGGACAAUGGUUUGGAUGCCGUUGUGGAAAGUUUUUUCGGUGUGGGAUGAGCUCGCGGCGUAUCAGCUUGUUGGUGGGGUAAUGGCGUACCAAGGCGUAGACGGGUAGCCGGCCUGCGAGGGUGUACGGCCAGACUGGAACUGAAAUGCGGCCCAGAGUCGGAAGGGUGGCAGCAGUGGGGAAUAUUGGACAAAGGGAGAAAGCCUGAUGGAGGGAGGCCGCGUGGGUGAUGACGGCUUUCGGGGUGUAAGCUAAUUUCGCUAGGGAUGAAGCGUAGUUGUGACGGUACCUGGAGAAGAAGCACCGGCUAACUACGUG